rnacentral:rRNA from 1 species
UGUUGGCUUAGAAGCAGCCAUCAUUUAAAGAAAGCGUAAUAGCUCACUGGUCGAGUCGGCCUGCGCGGAAGAUGUAACGGGGCUAAACCAUGCACCGAAGCUGCGGCAGCGACACUGUGUGUUGUUGGGUAGGGGAGCGUUCUGUAAGCCUGUGAAGGUGUGUCGUGAGGCAUGCUGGAGGUAUCAGAAGUGCGAAUGCUGACAUAAGUAACGAUAAAGCGGGUGAAAAGCCCGCUCGCCGGAAGACCAAGGGUUCCUGUCCAACGUUAAUCGGGGCAGGGUGAGUCGACCCCUAAGGCGAGGCCGAAAGGCGUAGUCGAUGGGAAACGGGUUAAUAUUCCCGUACUUGGUGUUACUGCGAAGGGGGGACGGAGAAGGCUAUGUUGGCCGGGCGACGGUUGUCCCGGUUUAAGCGUGUAGGUGUGUGUUCCAGGUAAAUCCGGUUCACUUUAACACUGAGGCGUGACGACGAGGCACUACGGUGCUGAAGCAACAAAUGCCCUGCUUCCAGGAAAAGCCUCUAAGCAUCAGGUAACAUCAAAUCGUACCCCAAACCGACACAGGUGGUCAGGUAGAGAAUACCAAGGCGCUUGAGAGAACUCGGGUGAAGGAACUAGGCAAAAUGGUGCCGUAACUUCGGGAGAAGGCACGCUGACACGUAGGUGAAGUGAUUUACUCAUGGAGCUGAAGUCAGUCGAAGAUACCAGCUGGCUGCAACUGUUUAUUAAAAACACAGCACUGUGCAAACACGAAAGUGGACGUAUACGGUGUGACGCCUGCCCGGUGCCGGAAGGUUAAUUGAUGGGGUCAGCGCAAGCGAAGCUCCUGAUCGAAGCCCCGGUAAACGGCGGCCGUAACUAUAACGGUCCUAAGGUAGCGAAAUUCCUUGUCGGGUAAGUUCCGACCUGCACGAAUGGCGUAAUGAUGGCCAGGCUGUCUCCACCCGAGACUCAGUGAAAUUGAACUCGCUGUGAAGAUGCAGUGUACCCGCGGCAAGACGGAAAGACCCCGUGAACCUUUACUAUAGCUUGACACUGAACAUUGAGCCUUGAUGUGUAGGAUAGGUGGGAGGCUUUGAAGUGUGGACGCCAGUCUGCAUGGAGCCGACCUUGAAAUACCACCCUUUAAUGUUUGAUGUUCUAACGUGGACCCGUUACCCGGGUUGCGGACAGUGUCUGGUGGGUAGUUUGACUGGGGCGGUCUCCUCCUAAAGAGUAACGGAGGAGCACGAAGGUUGGCUAAUCCUGGUCGGACAUCAGGAGGUUAGUGCAAUGGCAUAAGCCAGCUUGACUGCGAGCGUGACGGCGCGAGCAGGUGCGAAAGCAGGUCAUAGUGAUCCGGUGGUUCUGAAUGGAAGGGCCAUCGCUCAACGGAUAAAAGGUACUCCGGGGAUAACAGGCUGAUACCGCCCAAGAGUUCAUAUCGACGGCGGUGUUUGGCACCUCGAUGUCGGCUCAUCACAUCCUGGGGCUGAAGUAGGUCCCAAGGGUAUGGCUGUUCGCCAUUUAAAGUGGUACGCGAGCUGGGUUUAGAACGUCGUGAGACAGUUCGGUCCCUAUCUGCCGUGGGCGCUGGAGAACUGAGGGGGGCUGCUCCUAGUACGAGAGGACCGGAGUGGACGCAUCACUGGUGUUCGGGUUGUCAUGCCAAUGGCACUGCCCGGUAGCUAAAUGCGGAAGAGAUAAGUGCUGAAAGCAUCUAAGCACGAAACUUGCCCCGA